rnacentral:rRNA from 1 species
ACGCCCCUUAUGNANUAGUAAACCUGCUUUUGUCGGGGAAUAAAACUUUCUACGUGUANAGAGCUGAAGGNACCCGACNGAAUAAGCAUCGGCAUAACNUCCGUGCCAGCAGCCGCGGUAAUACGGAGGAUGCAAGCGUUAUCCGNAUUCAUUGNGUUUAAAGGNUGCNCAGGCGCAUUAAUAAGUCAGUGGUGAAAUUCANCGGCUCAACUGUUGACCUGCCAUUGAUACUGUUAGUC